ensembl:lncRNA
GAAUAGCCCAGCUCAUCUGCACUAUGAUGAGGACCAUGGGUUCUGAAGUUAGGCAGAGCUGGGAUACUUCACAGCAUGUGUAUGGCCUUGGGCAAGUUCCUUACACUCCCUAAGCCUCACCUGUAAAAUGAGGUGUGGAGCUGCUGCUGCUGGAGCCUAAAGUGGUUCUUUUUCCUGGCGCUUCUCAUACCUGGAGACCCUGUUGAUCCUCGUUAGCUGCUGACAGCACCUUUUCUAUGGUUUGAAGAGUCCGGACACGGCUUCACUGGGUCCUCUGCCCAGUGUCUUACGGGACUGCAAUCAACAUGCCACCUAGGCUGAAGUCUCAUUUGAAGAAUUAACUGGAGAAUCAUCUUCUUGCAAGCUCAUUCAGAGGAGGAUGGAGAGGUGCUGAAAGUGACAUGAGAUGUAAGAAAGACACUUAACCCUCAAAGAACAAGAGAAGUGGGAAAGAAAACUACCACUGAGAGCCUGCAGGGGAAGCAGAGUCCCAAGGGGAAGGUAGGUUCCAGUGACCACAAAGAUUCAGAAAAGUUCAGAGAAGAAAUGAAGGCUGUGGACAUUUUGCUGAUGAUUUUCAAAGGGCUCUGUGGAAGAGCUUCAGGGAAGGGGAUCAGAAAAAGGAGUGUCAGAAAGGGGUGGGAUAAGGGUUUGAGGGUUAAAGGAUACCCAACCAAAGCAGAGUUAAG